AAGACAACAGGGACCCCCUAAAAACAAGGACACCAGCAGAAAUUUUAGCCUCUGACACCUACAGUUACAGCAAACAAUAAACACAGACUAACUUCUAGGCAAAUAAACAAACAAGAGAUGGAGCACAUUCAAGUCACAGCAGUGGCCAUGAUAGCUAGAGUUUCAGAAGCCAUUCUGUGACCUGGAGCAUGGAAAGAAAGUGCUAAGAUGUUGAAAGAGAGAGAGGAUGACGUCCUGUGAAUGUGCUUCAAGUCCUUAUCAGCUUGUUACUCUGGAAACGUGGUGAAUCUAUUCCGAGCCUCAGUUUUCUUCUCUGCAAAAGAUGGCCAAUAAUCCUGGAGUUUUGGAUGGUAUGGGGAAGAAGAAAAUGCCUGAUGCAUCCCUGCCCUCCUCACAUUUUUAGAAGAGACAGAGACUUGAUCUACUUCUUAGGAAAGGGCAAGACUGAAAGAAAAUUCAGGUCCAUCUCAGUGGCUCCCCACCACAGGUGGAGAGGCUACUACUAAUCAGACUGAUGCACACUACCAGUGGGUGCCUUAAAAGAACGACAGACUCCCAGCCUCUCUCUUGGCCUGUGGACAUAGACCUGUUUGCCUCACCUGGCAGGUCCAGCCAGGCGUCUUCUCUCUCAGUUCCAGACAAGGCAUCUGACGGUGUGGAUCAGCCAGUUUAGACCCAGGGUCCCUCUAUUUGAAAUUCAGGGCAAAAGGGGUAGAACAAGCCCCCAUUUCAGCUGGAGGAAGUGUGGCUUUUGGCACAGUUUUAGCACCAAUAGAGUUGAUUAUUUUGAUCAUCAUUUGGCAAUAGUUCCUUAUAUCCUUUUUUCAAGCAGAUUUCUGGACAAGAGGAACCCAGUCAGAACCUUUUCCAGAAGUAUUAAGUAACAUAGUAAAUAUGACCGCACCUGCUUUGACACUCCUCCUAUUGACAAGUGAGUCAAUUUCUCCUCUUCUUUAAUCUGGAGGAGCUCUGAGACUGCUUUGACCAGUGGAGCACAUGGCAGAAAUGAUGUUGCUCCAGUUUCUAGGCCCAGACUUUCAGAGACUAGCAGCUUCCACUUCCUGUCUCCUGGAUGCUCAUUCUGGGUUGGGGGGGCGGUGGUGCCAGCAGCUAUGUAAGAAGUCUCACUAUCUGAGAUCACCAUGCUGGAGGAAGCCCAGGUCAACCACAUGGAGACACUGUACAGAGGGAGCUGCUCCAAGAAUCCUCAACUGAUCCAGCCAUCUCAGCCUAGGGGUUGCAGUCAGGCUUUGAAUCCCAGCGACAUUCAUUCCGCAACAUACUAACCACAUCCUGGUGAUCCCAGCUUCAGAGAGGAGAACACGGGGACUUGAGUUCACUGUUGCGGUGAAGUCCUGCUCUGGCCCCAGGCAGAAGUCAAGAUCAAAGCUCACACUGCAAAUAUUGUGCUGAUUAAAACCAAACUUUCUGCUUUUGAUGUGGGCCAACCUCCAUUGCUGGUAGGAACAAAGGAGGAGUAUAGCAAAAAGAUACUAGCAAUGUUUUCUUAUCCUGGGUUACCACCUACAUUGUUUCUUGGGGAGAAGGAUGCCUGACUCCUACAGAGUAAUGAGACACAAGGAGGGUGCCUGAGCCAUUUCUACAGACUCCAAGAGGUUCUAACCAGCCCAGGUCACUUCCACUUUUGAGACCUGUGGACACGUUAUGAUGUUAUGAAAUGCCAGAGCAGGAUUACCAAAACUCUCACAUAUUUGUAAAUGCUUGUAUUUUGCAAAUGACCCUUAUUUACAACCAAAAUAAAACUUCGUUUGGGAACAAUGUCAAGAGUCUUAAUGUGAGGCCUUUUAUGAAUACAAGGCCUCCUGCUAAAUGGCCCACCUGCUUCCCCCUCAUAAGCCUGGUCAUAUCAGUACCCCCAGGAGCUUGGCACAUGGUUUUCACAUGGUGAAUAAUGAAAAAGUACUUCCUAAAUGAAUAAGUGCACACAUGGAUGAAUAAACAAUCUACAUGUC
ensembl:lncRNA novel transcript